GUCAAUCUGCUCAAUGAAAUUUUAUUUAAAUAGCUGCAGUAUAUUGACUGUACAAAGGUAGCAUAAUUAAUUGUCUUUUAAUUGAAGAAUGGAAUGAAAGAAUUAAUGAAAUAUAAACUGUCUCUUAUAUAUAUAAUGAAAUUAAAUUUUUAGUUAAAAUGCUAAAAUUGAAUUAUGGGACAAUAAGACCCUAUAGAAUUUUAUAUAAUUAAUAAUUUUAAAAAAUAUUUAUUUUAAAAUUAUUAAUUAUAUUUAAUUGGGAGGAUAAAUAAAUUUAAUUAACUUUAUUUUUAAUUUAAACUUUGAUUUAAGAAAAAUUAAUUUGAUAUAAUAAUAUUAAUAAUAAAAAUAAAUUACCUUAGGGAUAACAGCGUAAUAUCUUUUUAAAGUUCAUAUUAAUAAAGAUGUUUGCGACCUCGAUGUUGAAUUAAGAUAAAUUUUGAAUGAAGAAAUUUAAAAAUUAAUCUG
rnacentral:rRNA from 1 species